GAGUUUGAUCAUGGCUCAGAUUGAACGCUGGCGGCAGGCCUAACACAUGCAAGUCGAGCGGUAGCACAGAGAGCUUGCUCUCGGGUGACGAGCGGCGGACGGGUGAGUAAUGUCUGGGAAACUGCCUGAUGGAGGGGGAUAACUACUGGAAACGGUAGCUAAUACCGCAUAAUGUCGCAAGACCAAAGUGGGGGACCUUCGGGCCUCAUGCCAUCAGAUGUGCCCAGAUGGGAUUAGCUUGUAGGUGGGGUAACGGCUCACCUAGGCGACGAUCCCUAGCUGGUCUGAGAGGAUGACCAGCCACACUGGAACUGAGACACGGUCCAGACUCCUACGGGAGGCAGCAGUGGGGAAUAUUGCACAAUGGGCGCAAGCCUGAUGCAGCCAUGCCGCGUGUGUGAAGAAGGCCUUCGGGUUGUAAAGCACUUUCAGCGGGGAGGAAGGCGGUGAGGUUAAUAACCUCAUCGAUUGACGUUACCCGCAGAAGAAGCACCGGCUAACUCCGUGCCAGCAGCCGCGGUAAUACGGAGGGUGCAAGCGUUAAUCGGAAUUACUGGGCGUAAAGCGCACGCAGGCGGUCUGUCAAGUCGGAUGUGAAAUCCCCGGGCUCAACCUGGGAACUGCAUUCGAAACUGGCAGGCUAGAGUCUUGUAGAGGGGGGUAGAAUUCCAGGUGUAGCGGUGAAAUGCGUAGAGAUCUGGAGGAAUACCGGUGGCGAAGGCGGCCCCCUGGACAAAGACUGACGCUCAGGUGCGAAAGCGUGGGGAGCAAACAGGAUUAGAUACCCUGGUAGUCCACGCCGUAAACGAUGUCGAUUUGGAGGUUGUGCCCUUGAGGCGUGGCUUCCGGAGCUAACGCGUUAAAUCGACCGCCUGGGGAGUACGGCCGCAAGGUUAAAACUCAAAUGAAUUGACGGGGGCCCGCACAAGCGGUGGAGCAUGUGGUUUAAUUCGAUGCAACGCGAAGAACCUUACCUGGUCUUGACAUCCACAGAACUUUCCAGAGAUGGAUUGGUGCCUUCGGGAACUGUGAGACAGGUGCUGCAUGGCUGUCGUCAGCUCGUGUUGUGAAAUGUUGGGUUAAGUCCCGCAACGAGCGCAACCCUUAUCCUUUGUUGCCAGCGGUCCGGCCGGGAACUCAAAGGAGACUGCCAGUGAUAAACUGGAGGAAGGUGGGGAUGACGUCAAGUCAUCAUGGCCCUUACGACCAGGGCUACACACGUGCUACAAUGGCAUAUACAAAGAGAAGCGACCUCGCGAGAGCAAGCGGACCUCAUAAAGUAUGUCGUAGUCCGGAUUGGAGUCUGCAACUCGACUCCAUGAAGUCGGAAUCGCUAGUAAUCGUAGAUCAGAAUGCUACGGUGAAUACGUUCCCGGGCCUUGUACACACCGCCCGUCACACCAUGGGAGUGGGUUGCAAAAGAAGUAGGUAGCUUAACCUUCGGGAGGGCGCUUACCACUUUGUGAUUCAUGACUGGGGUGAAGUCGUAACAAGGUAACCGUAGGGGAACCUGCGGUUGGAUCACC
rnacentral:rRNA from 1 species